ensembl:lncRNA
UAAUCAUUAACAGAAGCAAUGAGCUCUUGAGUGUUUCAUUCCAGAGAGCAAGACCAAAUCGGCUGGAUCACGAGGACAACAGAAGCCUAGACAACUCAUUCUAUCCAAAUAACCACUAAAAACUUGAAGUUUCAGAGUAAAAAGGUUGUGUUACAGAAUACCUAGCAUGUUGACUACUGAGAAUGGACCUAAAAGGCACAUUUACAGCUGGAAACCUCAUUCUGUCGGAGGCACUCAACCUGGUAUCAGUCACCCUGGGAGAUGUAUCAACAGCAAGGCCUGGCAUCUGAGCUCCAGACCCCAGCGCUGGAGAAAUACGGCACCAUCAUAUUACUUCUGUUUUGUGAAACAAGCUGUCCUGUGGAACAGAGGACAGCAUCACACGGUAAUCAGACGUGAGAAAUGCCCUCCACCCUUGUGUUCUCGUUUUCAUGCUCAUAUGGAGGCCUGGCCUGACCAUUUCAGAAACCCACAAUUCUUAAACAUGCAUCCCAGACCAGGGCCUAAUCAUCUGGGGCAAAAACAACGACAGCAGAGUGCUCCACAACCUCAAAGAUGUCCAGAUGUCAGGAGGAACCAAAAUGUGGAUCAUUCCAACAGGAGUCAAUUGAGUGUGGUUCUACCGCAUGCACCUGGAUGCCCUAAUCCAAGUAGAUCUUCUCCAGAACCCCCAACAAGUCCUUCUCUGAUGCUCAAGUUUGUUGAUCACCCUCAGAAACCCCAAACCUCCAAUCCACACUUACAACUGACAGAUGAGGAAAAAGAUGCAUGCUCUGUGCCACAAAAUCUGAAUCAAGGGCACCAUGAAAUGGGUGAAGAGGAGACAAUGACCGCAACAACUCUGUCCACCCCGACAACCCCAAGCAUCCCAGCCACCCCAACUACUCCUGGCACCCAAAGUACUCCAAGUAGCCCAGUCACUCCAGGCACACCAAGUUCAUCUGUGACCCCAAAUUCUCUUUCUGAUUUUAGUGGCCCUUCAUCGAGCCAGUUCAGCCGUAUCACUGACCUGAACAGUAGCUUCUCAGAUGCCCUGUCAGUGAACUUCAGCGUUGACCAUUGUGAAGACAAUAACACCGAUGAUGAGGAUAACCAUGCUUCUGACCUUGACCAGAAUAAUUAUUAUCCAGAGGGCUGCUCUACUUCUCUCCCCGAGCUUCACUUUAGCUCUGCAGGAAGUUACAGUCAGGCCAGCUCACGAAUGGAUGUCCUUCAAGCACAUCUCUCUAGAUCUCUCACCUCCUGCAAACAAGAAACACCUUCCACUUGCUUGCCAGACACUCCAAUUUACACCUCCAAAACCCCUCAGUCUGGGCAAACCCCAGCCACCCAACAGUCAACAUAUGAAACCUUGCACAGACACCCUGGAUCCAGCCAGUCUGGCCUGAGCAUUCAGUCACAAAAACCUGAAUGCUCAACAGCAGAUAGUCGAUCAGAAUGGAACCUGUGGCCUGUGCUUCCUCCCAUCAUGCCACAGCAAGAUGAACUGCAAGAUGAAAGUUUACUGGGAGGGACCCCUGACUCCCUGUCCGACAGGUCACAGUCUGAUAUCUUUGCUGAGCUGGAUGAUCUGGCCCCUUGCUCAAGUUCCUGUGUGUCUCCGGACCACCCAGCCGGGAGUCAAACUGACCGAUCCUCACCUACCACAGAUCUGAGUCCUGGACUUGCGGCACUGACUGUGGGAUGUGAUUCGGGUGAUCUGGGAUCUUUGUCCCGUGUUCAGCUCCUGCUAUUGGAGCGAAGAGGAUCCGAGAGUCCAGGUUCCAUCCCAAGUCCCGAAUGGUGUCGAACUCUGGACGGGGAGGAGUAUGAACCUGGCCUUAGAGUCUGGAGCUCGGGCAUUUCCCAAUAUUAUCAGUCCACAGUCCCCGACAACCGCAAACCAUUAAGUGGCAGAAACAGCAGCCAAGAUUCUUUGGCAACUUUCAAGGGACGCAGAAAGUGCCCCGGGCUCAUCAGUGUGGGGAGUGUAUCAAGGACAUCAUCCUGUUGUUCUCUCAGCUCAAGGGUGUCUGAGAGCAGCUCCAGGAACCGAGAAAAAAACACCUGUGAGGACCAAGGUUGUGAAUCCCAAGAUGAGAAUGUCCCACUCUAUUUAUCACCUCUCUCUCCCAGUGCUUUGCUGACAGAAAGCCCAACAAACGGGGGGACCAUACUGGUCCCGCAAUGUGGAACCAGUGACCAUGCUGAAAAGCACAGAAACAGGUCAGACAGACUUCGAGAGAAGAGGAAGAGGAAGAAGGAGAUGAAGAAGACAGAGGAGAGGAAGAAUAAAGCCCUGCAGAUUUACUCCAAACUUCAGGAUGGAAAAGACCCAACAGAGCCCUCUCAUCAGAGCCCUUGCUCUAAGUUUGAGGACUUUGAUUUUCUGGCAAAGUACUGCAUCCUCAGUCAGGACAAGCUGUCCAUGUACAAAAGAGCUUUUGAGGCCAUUCUGGAGCUGGUUGAUUUCAGAGUAACAGAAGGCCUUACGGAUCUGCGCCUGUUUGCUGUAGUGGCCAGUUUGGCCCAGAAAAUAGCCACACUCGAUGAUUUCAUGCGCUCCCUCAUCAGCAAGAUGGAUUUCAAAUCUCUGGAGAUGAAGCUUUAUAAAGCCAAGCAGUUGUUCUUGUUUUUGCUGGAGGCCCAAACAGGGGGCGCUCUGGUGCCAGAGGGUUGCAUUGGGGCAGAGCAACUACUAGUGGAGCUUAAGGCAGGGGGCAUCAGGCCUGAGCAUGAGGCAUCGGUGAGGCGGGAACUGCGCAGUUUGCGCUCCCUUGAUCUUCUUGACUUCCUCGCUCACCUGCCUCUCUUCAUCCUCAUUCAUAACUCAGUUAUCGCAAACCCCUUCGAUGACUCCAGCAACCUGUGAUGGUAUCAACAACAACUGUCUGCACCAAUAGUUAGGCCACAUUAACAUCAACAUAAAUACAUAUAUUAGAUACAUAUGUAUGAAAAAAGUUUGGGGCCUGAAGGAUUUUUUUAUGUUUUUGAAAGAAGCUCUUUUGCUCACCAAGGCUGCAUUUAUUUGAUCAAAAAUACAGUUACAAAAAAAGUUUAAAAUAAGUGUUUUCUAUUUUAAUAUAUUUUAAAAAGUAAUUUAUUUCUGUGAUGCAAAGCUGAAUUUUCACCACCUGUUACUCCAGUCUUCAGUGUCACAUGAUCCUUCAAAAAUAAUUGUAAUAUGCUGAUCAAAAGUAUUUCAGUAUUAUGUUGAAAACAGUUGUGAUGCUUAAUAUUUUUGUGGAAUCAUCACUAAGUAAGACUAUACAAAUACUGAUACAAAUGAUUAUGUUUAAGUGUCCCAUUUAUGUAUUCAUCCUGCUGAACUCUGCUGAAAGUGACCAAACCUCAAUAAAAAUUACAAACAAAGUCUUGUUAAUUAUUCU